UCUGGUUCUCCUUUUUCUCCUGAACAGGUAGCUAAGCUUUUGAGUCUUGUUAAUGAAAAAACCAGUUCUGAUGCACAGCCUUCUAACAUGGGAGGAUUCGAAAUCAGGGAGAGUCCUGGUGACUGGUAAACAGGAUAAUGGAUUGUAUUUUAUAAACAAAGGUUACCUUCCUCUGUGCUUUUGGGAAAAAGUCCAUAUGAGAUAGUGUUUGGUUUUAGACCCUCUCUUGCUCACUUUAGAGUUUUUGGCUGUUUAUGUUUUAGCACAGUUUUAAAUGAUUCAGAUAAGUUGGCUUUUAAUGCAGAAAAAUGUGUUUUAAUUGGAUAUUCAAAUGUUAAAAAAGGUUACAAA